GACGUAGGGCGCGAGCGUUGUCCGGAUUUAUUGGGCGUAAAGAGCGUGUAGGCGGCCAGGUAGGUCUGGUGUGAAAACUCGAGGCUUAACCUCGAGAUGUCAUCGGAAACCAUCUGGCUAGAGUCCGGAAGAGGAGAGUGGAAUUCCUGGUGUAGCGGUGAAAUGCGCAGAUAUCAGGAAGAACACCCGUGGCGAAGGCGGCUCUCUGGGACGGUACUGACGCUGAGACGCGAAAGCGUGGGGAGCGAACAGG
rnacentral:rRNA from 1 species